rnacentral:rRNA from 1 species
GACGAACGCUGGCGGCGUGCCUAAUACAUGUAAGUAGAACGCUGAAGGAGGAGCUUGCUUCUCUGGAUGAGUUGCGAACGGGUGAGUAACGCGUAGGUAACCUGCCUGGUAGCGGGGGAUAACUAUUGGAAACGAUAGCUAAUACCGCAUAAGAGUAGAUGUUGCAUGACAUUUGCUUAAAAGGUGCAAUUGCAUCACUGCCAGAUGGACCUGCGUUGUAUUAGCUAGUUGGUGGGGUAACGGCUUACCAAGGCGACGAUACAUAGCCGACCUGAGAGGGUGAUCGGCCACACUGGGACUGAGACACGGCCCAGACUCCUACGGGAGGCAGCAGUAGGGAAUCUUCGGCAAUGGACGGAAGUCUGACCGAGCAACGCCGCGUGAGUGAAGAAGGUUUUCGGAUCGUAAAGCUCUGUUGUAAGAGAAGAACGAGUGUGAGAGUGGAAAGUUCACACUGUGACGGUAUCUUACCAGAAAGGGACGGCUAACUACGUG